AGGACGAACGCUGGCGGCGUGCCUAACACAUGCAAGUCGAGCGAGGAGAUUCCUCGGGAUGAUCCUAGCGGCGGACGGGUGAGUAACACGUGGGCAACCUGCCUCAUAGAGAGGAAUAGCCUUCCGAAAGGGAGAUUAAUACCUCAUAACAUUGCAGUUUCGCAUGGAACAGCAAUUAAAGGAGUAAUCCGCUAUGAGAUGGGCCCCGCGGCGCAUUAGCUAGUUGGUGAGGUAAUGGCUCACCAAGGCGACGAUGCGUAGCCGACCUGAGAGGGUGAUCGGCCACAUUGGGACUGAGACACGGCCCAGACUCCUACGGGAGGCAGCAGUGGGGAAUAUUGCACAAUGGGGGAAACCCUGAUGCAGCAACGCCGCGUGAGUGAUGACGGCCUUCGGGUUGUAAAGCUCUGUCUUCAGGGACGAUAAUGACGGUACCUGAGGAGGAAGCCACGGCUAACUACGUGCCAGCCGCCGC
rnacentral:rRNA from 1 species